UAAUUAAUAGGCACUAAAUUUAGCAGGGAAAGAUGUACACAAAACAGGGUGUUUACCUAUUUGUAUUCACCAAGUGCAAAGGGCGAAUUGUAACUUUUCAACAAGAAGCUUCCAGGCAGCAAUGACCUUAAAUCCAGGCGUCACCUGCGUGCUGCACACCCAUUCCCACCAAGAAUGCAAAAACUUGAAGUUUUGCCUUCGAAAGGAGCAAUCAGAAAGCCGUGAGGGUUAUUCUCCGGUCAGUGUUCUCCAAGAUGUCACUUGAGGUCACAGAAGUGUUGUAAUCACUAAAACAUUUCCUGUGUCUCCUUAAGUAACCUCCCACUCAAAAUGGAGCAACAAUCCUCAUUAAGUCAGUGAAUCACACACAGAGAGACAAGACUUGAAACUCGGAGGGAGACUUCCUGGGAAAAGGGAGUUUCCAGGGGGAGAAGCAGGGGAAGCGAUCUGAGAGCGAGUCACAGAAGUGAAAAAUGACUAAAAUUCGGGCUGUACAACGUGUGAAACUUUCAAAGAAUUACUUAGCAGAUUGAUUAAGCCAAUGCCUUGGGUUCUUAGUGUAACAGACACUAGCACUGAAGAAGAGGUAAUCCACUUGCCUGCAGUGUGUCCUUCGGUGUGGCUCCCUAGGCCCCUAACCGCACUGAACACUUAGUUCUAAGACUCGAGCUAAUCCUCCUUCUCUGUGCUCCCUUUGCAGGAUAACAUAAACAUCGAUGAGGCCACCCGCUUCCUAGUGGAAAACAUGCUCGCGAACCAGCAAAGUUUUCCUAGGGAAGAAAUCGACAUGGACAAAAUUAAACUGGUGGAGGAGCCCCCCACGACAAAGCCCAAGUCCCAGUGCUGCUGAUGUGUCUCCAUGGUCUUGCAUGCGCAUGCGUCUGAGGGUGCCCCCUCCUAACCCUCGGUGCCAUUGUCCGCUGUGAAUCUCCCUCAGGGGCGCUUUAUCAUUCAUCUGCACAUGAACCGCCCAUCUGAACUGGAGAUCCCAGGAGCACUGUUCCCACUAGAGGCUCUUUGAUUUACCAGAGGACCCCUCAGGCUCUUUGUACUGCUAAAGGCAGACUAAUGUUUACAGCCUUUGAAAUAUUUUGUACACGAAUUUCAAGGGUUAGCUUUUAAUGUGGUUGGCCAGUAGAAAAACUUCCCUCCUCCCCUUGGUGAUCCUGACAUCUUGAGUGUCUUUUUUCCUGUAUACAUCCUCACCUAAGCACGGGUUGUUCUUGGUUUUUGUUUGUCUUAUUGUUUGUUUUCUUUCUUUAAGGUGGUAGCUACGAAGACUUGAAGGUCCCACGCAGUUAUAUCCUAGUCAAAACUUGGUGCGUCGUGUAGAGUUUUUAUCUUUAAAUAACAUGAUUCUAGAACGCAUAGCCAUUGUGUAACUGAGUCACUCUGAAUCACCCUUGAGAGCCCCUUCUUUAAUUAGUCAAGAAGUACCGAGCUGGGGAUGUGGCUCACUUAGAGAGCGUUUACCUUGAAUGUGAUAGAUGCUCGAGAGAUCAAAGAAGUUAGCACCAUACCUGUUCUGUGGGUGUCUCCCUCUGGAUCCUCUCUAGGGGUAGUUGCCACUCCCACUUGGAAACAAUACAAAUGAACUUUUUUUUUCUUCUGCCCUCUAGUCUGUGUUUAUAGCCUAGAACCAUAUUAAAGAUACAGUGGUACUAAGAGGAACUUGUCUUUCCAGACCCGUCUUGGUAAUAAUGGUCAGGAGGAGAAUUCUUUUUCGAAGCACAUGCAAGUUUAUGCAAAAGUUUCUGUAGUGUAAAACCUGAAAGAAAGUAAACCAUGUCUAGUAUUGUCUAUGGUUUUUGGGUACUGGUUGUAUAAUGCCUAGGACACUCAGGAAGAUCCUCUAUAUCGCAUUGCCUUUCACUCAGUGAAAGAAACGAAUAGAUAUUUUAACCUAAGCCUGUGUGCUGAAUGAAUGUCAUUCUAGGAAGGUCCUUUUCUGGUGAAGAAAAUGUGUUUGACUGGGGUGUUGGUUCACCUCUGUUGCCCCAGCAUGUAGGAAACAGAGGCGAAGGGUAGGAGUUCGUGGCAUAUCUUGGCUACAUAGCCAGCUCAAGGACAGCCUGUGCUACAGAAGAGGCUUUCUCCAAAAAAUAAAAAAUAAUAAUAAAAAAAUGGUUUGCUGUUGAAUUUUAGAUUUAGUUAUUUUAUGUGCGUGCUUCGUUUGCAUUUGCUCCCACGUGGCCAUGUAUGUACCUGGAGCCUGCAGAGAUCAGAAGAGGGCAUUGGAUCCCCUAGAACUGGAGUUGUGGAGGGUUGUGGACCAUUGUCAAUGAUGGGAACGAGACCCACAACUUCUGCAAGAGCAACAAGUGUUUUCAAUCACUGGGCCACCUCUCCAGCACCUUGACUCUUUUAUUUAAAGGGGCUUAUAUUAUGCAAAAGUUCAGGAUCCUUAAGGGAAUUUAAAAAGCCUUUGUAUCAUAGCUUUAAGCUAACACAACAUAAAAGACUGGAAUACUUGUCUUCUGAAUCAUGUUGAUAGGGUAAGUGAGCCUGUGGCCUCUAAUAGCAAGAUAAACAGAAGUGCAGUGUUCUAGAGUCUGUGUCCUGGAGAUAAAUAGGGACUCACAGGCUCUCUUUUCACUAAACUUAAGCUUCACCUAGCAAUACAAGCGUGACCAUAUCCUAUACAUUUAAGUAAAGAAAUCAUAUUAACCCUUUGGCCAUGUGAUCAUAAAUCUGGAUUUUCUGAAGUAAAGGAAUAAGAUACCAGGGCUUGAUUAACGUGCAUAACAUAGUAUGAUCAUUAUGGUUUUGUCAUUUGUUAAAUCUCACUUUUGAAAAAAAAACUAUUAUUACCCAAGCAUAAAAUAAAACUUUAUAAUGUUUCUGCUAUCUCACAUCCUGUGAAGAAUGUAUGGGGUGUUACCCCGGUUGUUAGAAACACUGAACCCAUCCUAAAUCACUAUUGAAAGUGACUACAGUCACUUGUAAGUUCUUGUGUGCAACUGGAGUUUGGUUUUACAUGUAACCUAGCACAUGUGAGCUAUUGUUUAGCCAUGGUCUCCAAAUGAGAAUUAUUGUACUCAAUCUGUCCUUCUUUACAACGUUUGUUAACUUACAGUAAUCAUUCAGGAUAGUUCCUGACAAAACCGAUUUCUGUUAUGUCAAACGGUGUGGUUUAUGCUUUGUGAUGUUCAUAUUUCAGAGAAAAAAAAUGUUCAUCUUAUGCCUUAAACUCUUCUGUUUUGUAACUUGAAUACAAAAUUUUAAUUGCGGGUACGUUAUAUAAAAGGUAUUAAAUGAAAG
rnacentral:lncRNA from 1 species